GACCGAAUGGCGUAGUGGUUAGUGACCAGUGAGUAUACCCUGACUACUGAGCAGAAGGUCCCGGGUUCGAUUCCCGGCUGGGGCA
rnacentral:tRNA from 1 species